GGAAUGGGGAUACGAGUUCCCCAUGAGGCGACGGCCGAAGCAUCGUGUCCACCAUCAUCCCGGACGCAUCAUG
rfam:Sphingomonas sp. Leaf357 contig_1, whole genome shotgun sequence.